UACGAAGGGGGCAAGCGUUGUUCGGAAUUACUGGGCGUAAAGGGCGCGUAGGCGGCGGAUUUAGUCAGGCGUGAAAGCCCCGGGCUCAACCUGGGAAAUGCGCUUGAUACUGAUCUGCUUGAGUUCCGGAGAGGAUGGUGGAAUUCCCAGUGUAGAGGUGAAAUUCGUAGAUAUUGGGAAGAACACCGAUGGCGAAGGCAGCCAUCUGGACGGACACUGACGCUGAGGCGCGAAAGCGUGGGGAGCAAACAGG
rnacentral:rRNA from 1 species